GCGAGGUGAAGAUGAAAUUCAUGUCUGUCAAUCCACUGAAUAUUUGUGAUGUUAACUCAUGAAUCCCGACAGGUUCUGAUCGU